CCUACGGGGGGCAGCAGUGGGGAAUAUUGGACAAUGGGGGCAACCCUGAUCCAGCCAUGCCGCGUGUGUGAAGAAGGCCCUCGGGUUGUAAAGCACUUUCAGUGAGGAAGAACGCCUGGUGGUUAAUACCCAUCAGGAAAGACAUCACUCACAGAAGAAGCACCGGCUAACUCCGUGCCAGCAGCCGCGGUAAUACGGAGGGUGCGAGCGUUAAUCGGAAUUACUGGGCGUAAAGUGCGCGUAGGUGGCUUGAUAAGCCGGUUGUGAAAGCCCCGGGCUCAACCUGGGAACGGCAUCCGGAACUGUCAAGCUAGAGUGCAGGAGAGGAAGGUAGAAUUCCCGGUGUAGCGGUGAAAUGCGUAGAGAUCGGGAGGAAUACCAGUGGCGAAGGCGGCCUUCUGGACUGACACUGACACUGAGGUGCGAAAGCGUGGGUAGCAAACAGGAUUAGAUACCCUAGUAGUC
rnacentral:rRNA from 1 species